rnacentral:rRNA from 1 species
AGUGAACGCUGGCGGUAGGCCUAACACAUGCAAGUCGAACGGCAGCACAGUAAGAGCUUGCUCUUACGGGUGGCGAGUGGCGGACGGGUGAGGAAUACAUCGGAAUCUACUUUUUCGUGGGGGAUAACGUAGGGAAACUUACGCUACUACCGCAUACUACCUACGGGUGAAAGCAGGGGUUCUUCGGACUUUGCGCGAUUGAUUGAGCCGAUGUCGGAUUAGCUAGUUGGCGGGGUAAAGGCCCACCAAGGCGACGAUCCGUAGCUGGUCUGAGAGGAUGAUCAGCCACACUGGAACUGAGACACGGUCCAGACUCCUACGGGAGGCAGCAGUGGGGAAUAUCGGACAAUGGGCGCAAGCCUGAUCCAGCCAUACCGCGUGGGUGAAGAAGGCCUUCGGGUUGUAAAGCCCUUUUGUUGGGAAAGAAAAGCAGCAGGUUAAUACCCCGCUGUUCUGACGGUACCCAAAGAAUAAGCACCGGCUAACUUCGUG